rnacentral:rRNA from 1 species
AACAAACGCUGGCGGCGUGCCUAAUACAUGCAAGUCGAACGGGGAAAGCUUUCGGGCGAGUACUAGUGGCGCACGGGUGAGUAACGCGUGGAUAAUCUGCCUUAGAGUGGGGGAUAACUAGUCGAAAGAUUAGCUAAUACCGCAUAAGACCACAAGAACUGCGGUUCAAGGGGUCAAAGGUUUUUCGCUCUAAGAUGAGUCCGCGUAAGAUUAGCUAGUUGGUAGGGUAACGGCCUACCAAGGCGACGAUCUUUAACUGGUCUGAGAGGAUGAUCAGUCACACUGGAACUGAGACACGGUCCAGACUCCUACGGGAGGCAGCAGUAGGGAAUAUUGCACAAUGGAGGAAACUCUGAUGCAGCGACGCCGCGUGAGUGAUGAAGGCCUUCGGGUCGUAAAGCUCUGUCGCAGGGGAAUAACACAAUGAAGGUACCCUGUAAGAAGGGAUCGGCUAACUUCGUGCCAGCAGCCACAGUAACAC